rnacentral:lncRNA from 1 species
GGCUCGACUUUGACCAGCCAACCUGACCACCAUCAGAAAGACUCAAACCAAAUUAUCAUAUUAUGAAUGAUAAUUCCAUUAGUCAAUAAGCACCUGGCCUUUGGGCCUCCAGUGAUUAUUAAACUAAUGGACUCAUUAUCACUCACUUAAUGGGAGGCUAUGACUUAGUUAUCACUAUAACUUAAUCAUUUUAGGGACCUAAUAAUUUUGAGGAUUUUAUUAAAGGAUAGAAGAGAAGAAAUUAACN